rnacentral:rRNA from 1 species
AUACAUAGGGGGCAAGCGUUAUCCGGAAUUAUUGGGCGUAAAGGGUGCGUAGGCGGUCAUUUAAGUCUUUGGUGUAAGUGCAAGGCUCAACCUUGUGAUGCUAAGGAAACUGGAUGACUUGAGUGUGAUAGAGGUAAGUGGAAUUCCAUGUGUAGCGGUAAAAUGCGUAAAUAUAUGGAGGAACACCAGUGGCGAAGGCGGCUUACUGGGUCACAACUGACGCUGAGGCACGAAAGCGUGGGGAGCAAACAGGAUUAGAUACCCUGGUAGUCCACGCCGUAAACGAUGAGUACUAAGUGUUGGAGAAAUUCAGUGCUGUAGUUAACGCAAUAAGUACUCCGCCUGAGUAGUACGUACGCAAGUAUGAA